GCUGCCGGUCGAGUCGGACGCCGGAAAGACGGUGAAGCAAAACAUUCGGAAUAUGCCCAGCUCACCGCGUCUAUAAACUCACCCGACCCGUAGGGCACGCACAAACAUGUGUCACUCACCAGCGCUUUCCGUCCCGUACUCCCGUGUACCCUGUCCCGUCCUCCUAGCUCGCAUUCCGAUUUCCGAGUUCCAGCCAGCGAGCGAGCCAACCAACUGAACCAACCAACCACCGCUCCUUCUUCCUUCCUUCCUUCCCCAGUUCCCCUCGUCUCACCAGUCACCAAGGUUCCGAGAGCAGAGCGAGAUAAAAAAAAAGGUAAUCCGACGGAAACGACAAGGGCGCGGCGAGGGCGGGGACAGGGUCGGGAAGGCCCUGGGCGCGGGGGCGCCAAGCGCAUGGCAUCGUCGAGGGUGAUGCCGUCCUCCUCGCCGUCGCACACGGCCUCUGAUCUCGCGCGCCUAGCGCAGGCCGCCAGCAGGCCCGGCGGCGGGGGCAGCGGGCUGGGCUCCAUGAACGUGGAGGAGCUCCUCCGCGGCAUCUACAGCGACAUGCCCACCCCGGCGCCGCCCGCGUCGGAGCCCGAACGCCCGAGGUCGCCGGCCCCGGCGCCGGAGGUCGCCACGCGGAGGACGGCGGAGGAGGUGUGGAAGGAGAUCACCGGCGGAGGUGGCAGUGGGGAACCCGUGCCCCCCGUGGCGGCUCAGGCUGCCGUCCCCGCUGGUGGUGGUGGCGCCGGCGGCCCGGAGAUGACGCUGGAGGACUUCCUGGCCAGGGAGGAGGGCGCGGUGAAGGAGGAUGGGGUUAGGGUUUCGGGCCCCUCUGCGCCGGCCAUGGGGUUCCUGGGCGGAGCGGAGGGCGUGGGUGUGCCUGGCGGCGGAGGCGGGAGGGGAAGGAAGCGGCAGCUCAUGGAUCCAGUGGAUCGCGCCGCGAUGCAGCGACAGAAACGAAUGAUCAAAAACCGCGAGUCUGCUGCCCGGUCACGGGAGAGGAAGCAGGCUUAUAUCGCCGAGCUAGAAUCGCUGGUAACGCACCUCGAGGAGGAGAAUGCCGAGUUGUUGAGAGAACAGAUACCAGUGCCUCAUGAAUGUUCAUCUUUAUCGAUAUGCAAACAUCUUACCUUCUAAAUGAUGUUGCCAUUCCCUUGUCAUAAGCUUUUGAUGUUCGUGUAUUUCAGGAAGAGCGGCACCAGAAGCGGCUUAAAGAGCUCUUGGAACGGGUGACGCCAGUCAUUCUGAGGAAAAAACCAUCAGGAGAUCUUAGAAGAACGAACUCAAUGCAGUGGUAGAUUGGAGCCAAGCUCAGUCGCCGUCUCUUUACAGUUAUAACAUAGAAUUUGCCCCUGUAUGUCAUUUUUCUAUUUAUAUAUGCGCCAACUAAGUUGUAGUAUCUUAGCUGAAAUAGCAUGGGCAAUUAGCCGACACAAAGGUUAAACGAAAUCAUAUUAUGUAGGAGUGCUCAUGACCAAGAAAGGUUGCUGUUCCUGCCU